rnacentral:rRNA from 1 species
ACGAGUGGCGGACGGGUGAGUAACACGUGGGUAACCUGCCCUUAAGUGGGGGAUAACAUUUGGAAACAGAUGCUAAUACCGCAUAAAUCCAAGAACCGCAUGGUUCUUGGCUGAAAGAUGGCGUAAGCUAUCGCUUUUGGAUGGACCCGCGGCGUAUUAGCUAGUUGGUGAGGUAACGGCUCACCAAGGCAAUGAUACGUAGCCGAACUGAGAGGUUGAUCGGCCACAUUGGGACUGAGACACGGCCCAAACUCCUACGGGAGGCAGCAGUAGGGAAUCUUCCACAAUGGACGCAAGUCUGAUGGAGCAACGCCGCGUGAGUGAAGAAGGCUUUCGGGUCGUAAAACUCUGUUGUUGGAGAAGAAUGGUCGGCAGAGUAACUGUUGUCGGCGUGACGGUAUCCAACCAGAAAGCCACGGCUAACUACGUGCCAGCAGCCGCGGUAAUACGUAGGUGGCAAGCGUUAUCCGGAUUUAUUGGGCGUAAAGCGAGCGCAGGCGGUUUUUUAAGUCUGAUGUGAAAGCCCUCGGCUUAACCGAGGAAGUGCAUCGGAAACUGGGAAACUUGAGUGCAGAAGAGGACAGUGGAACUCCAUGUGUAGCGGUGAAAUGCGUAGAUAUAUGGAAGAACACCAGUGGCGAAGGCGGCUGUCUGGUCUGUAACUGACGCUGAGGCUCGAAAGCAUGGGUAGCGAACAGGAUUAGAUACCCUGGUAGUCCAUGCCGUAAACGAUGAAUGCUAGGUGUUGGAGGGUUUCCGCCCUUCAGUGCCGCAGCUAACGCAUUAAGCAUUCCGCCUGGGGAGUACGACCGCAAGGUUGAAACUCAAAGGAAUUGACGGGGGCCCGCACAAGCGGUGGAGCAUGUGGUUUAAUUCGAAGCAACGCGAAGAACCUUACCAGGUCUUGACAUCUUUUGAUCACCUGAGAGAUCAGGUUUCCCCUUCGGGGGCAAAAUGACAGGUGGUGCAUGGUUGUCGUCAGCUCGUGUCGUGAGAUGUUGGGUUAAGUCCCGCAACGAGCGCAACCCUUAUGACUAGUUGCCAGCAUUUAGUUGGGCACUCUAGUAAGACUGCCGGUGACAAACCGGAGGAAGGUGGGGAUGACGUCAAAUCAUCAUGCCCCUUAUGACCUGGGCUACACACGUGCUACAAUGGAUGGUACAACGAGUUGCGAGACCGCGAGGUCAAGCUAAUCUCUUAAAGCCAUUCUCAGUUCGGACUGUAGGCUGCAACUCGCCUACACGAAGUCGGAAUCGCUAGUAUUCGCGGAUCAGCACGCCGCGGUGAAUACGUUCCCGGGCCUUGUACACACCGCCCGUCACACCAUGAGAGUUUGUAACACCCGAAGCCG